CAGUAGCCGCGGUAAUACGUAGGUGGCAAGCGUUGUCCGGAAUUAUUGGGCGUAAAGCGCGCGCAGGUGGUUUAAUAAGUCUGAUGUGAAAGCCCCCGGCUCAACCGGGGAGGGUCAUUGGAAACUGGGAAACUUGAGUGCAGAAGAGGAGAGUGGAAUUCCACGUGUAGCGGUGAAAUGCGUAGAGAUGUGGAGGAACACCAGUGGCGAAGGCGACUCUCUGGUCUGUAACUGACGCUGAGGAGCGAAAGCGUGGGGAGCGAACAGGAUUAGAUACCCCAGUAGUCCCUGUCUCUUAUAC
rnacentral:rRNA from 1 species